AAGCGAUCACAAGCGUCUACAUGCAAAGACGGUGUUCUUCUAGGAUUUCACAGCUGUUCACUCAGAAAAAUGGUUUAUGUUGUGUGUAAUAUUUUGGGAAGAGGCUAGCUUAUGUUCCAGCAACAGGAUAUCAUAUAUAGAUAAUAGAACCAGAGAUACCUGAGAUUGCUGCUGGUUGAGGUGAGCUGUAGGAGUUGGAGGUUGACAUAUAUCUUACAGUAUAAUAUGCAGUUGAUAUCAAAGUGAGCUAUGGAAGGCGGUGGAGGUUGACAUUUGUCUAACAAUAUAAUACCAGAUUAAUAUUACAGAUGAUAUCAAAGUGAACUAGUGAUGGAGGUCCAGAUUGUCUAUUGUAUAAAGAUUCUGUUACAGUUAAAGGUUGACGUCUUUAACAGAUUAAUCUGUUACAUCUGAAGUGUGAUACCAGAGAUGAGUACUACAGCAAGUUCCAUUUGACUGGAGCAGAUGCCUAAUUGUAUUUAUUGGACGUGUGGAUUUGUUUUGUCCUAAAUCAUCAACACUGAUUGAACAUGUGCAUAUUUUCUGGGCUCCAUGUACAUCUUACUAAGAUCUGGGAGAAUUAUGAAGACAGUUGGAGACUGGAAAAUAAUAGAAUAAUUGUUGAAAAUGCAAUGCUGUGCGUGAAAGUUAAUUUGGGGAUACGUCAUUGUUGUCCAUUUAUUAUAUACACAGCAUUAAUUGCUGUUGUUAAUGAACAUUACUAAUAUAAAGGUUAACUGUCAUUUUUCAGUUGUGACCUUAUUAAAGUAUUCUAGAAUUUUUCUACAUGAGUAAAAUGAUAUAAAUAGAGGAUAUUUGUUUGUUUCAGUGAAAUAUCAAUUUUAUUUCACAAGUGAGCAUCAAAAACUGAUAUUUUUACGAGUGGCGUAGCCACGAGUGAAAAUGACUUUUUUUGGUGCUCACGAGUGAAAUAAAAUUGAUAUUUCACUGAAACAAACAAAUUUUCUUUUUAUUUCAUGUGUAAAACUCUAUUUUUGUUGCGUUAUUUAUAAAAAUGUCGAAAAUCGUGGGAAAGAUCAACAGAAAGCAUAACACAAAUGACGUCAUUUUAUCGACGUCAUCGUCAUUAUGGUCCCCGGUAUUCAUUACGCCCGGUAUACAAUUUGACUUCAGUUGCGACGGAGGACUGGAACAAGUUCGGCAAAAACAGUGAAAAUAAAAAUGAUAAUCUACUGUUUCAAAACUGUGGAUUAUCACUUUUAUUUCACUGAGAAAACUCUGUAAUUCACUAUAAAACAUAAAAUAAAUUGAUAAUAAUAACCAUUCCAGUACAGAAGAACCCAAGUAUAAAUGGUAUUUCUCACAUGAAUCGAUUUUGUUGUUUUUUUCUCAACAGGUUUACCAAACACUCGAAAAGAUCAUAUUUUGAGGUACAUUUGAAAGUUUAAGAGUCUCCUUUCAUAUUGACUAACAUAAAAAAGUUUGAAAAAACUUAAAUAUUAGCAUAUUUAUCAGUUCGCAUGAACUUUGUUCACAGAGAGCUUGUGGUAUAUUUGGAUGAUCCGGUGUUAGUAGCUCUGCAUCAGUACUUUUACUUAAUCAUCUCCUCUGAAACUACUGGUCAUAAAUACAUCAAACUUAGACUGUGGUAUUAUGACAUACAUCUCUCAAGAUUGUUUUAAUAACUCCUGAAAGGCUUGACAGAUUUAAAUAAAUUUUGGUACACAGGUGUAACAUUGGAAAAAACAGGUCAAAUUGACUUUGAGGUUAGUAGGUCAAAGGUCAAGAUCACAGUGACCAUGAACAGUUAAAAGGUUUCCUGUUGAUGACUUGAGAACCCUUUGGCCUAGGAUCAUAACUUUUGGUACACAGGUUUAACACCAUGAAAUAAAGUCAAGUUUUACUUUGAGAUCAGCAGGUCAAAGGUCAGGGUCACAAUGAUCCUGGACAGUUUAACGGUUUCAAGAGGAUAACUUGAGAAUGUUUGAGCCUAAGAUCAUAAAUUAUGGUACACAGGUGUAACAUCAUGAAAUACAGGUCAAGUUAAACUUUGAGGCCGGUACGUCAAAGGUCAAGGUAACAGUGACACGGAACAAUUAAACGGUUUCCAUAUGUUAACUUGAGAACACUUGAGCCUAGGAUCAUAGUAUUUAGUACACAGGUGUAACAUGAUAAGAUACAGGUCAUGUUCAGCAUUGAGGUCAGUAGGUCAAAGAUCAAGGUGACAAUGACCUGAAACAGUUAAACGUUUAUGGAUGUUGACUUAAGAAUGCUUGGGCCAAGGAUCAUGCAAAUUGAUAGGUAGAUUGGUCAUGACCAGCAGACGACCCCCAAUGAUUUUAAGGUCAGUAUGUCACAGGUCAAGGUCACAGUGACCCGGAACAUUUAAACAGUCUUUAGACAUUGACUUCAGAACACUUGAGCCUAGCAUCAUAGUAUUUAGUACACAGGUGUAACAUGAUAAGAUACAGGUCAUGUUCAACACUGAGGUCAGUAGGUCAAAGAUCAAGGUCACAAUGACCCGAAACAGUUAAAACGGUUUCUGGAUGAGAACGCUUGGGCCUAGGAUCAUGCAAAUUGAUAGGUAGAGAUUGGUCAUGACCAGCAGAUGACCGCCAAUGAUUUUGAGGUCAGUAGGUCACAGGUCAAGGUCACAGUGACCCAGAACAUUUAAACAGUCUUCAGACAUUGACUUCAGAAUUCUUGGGCCU